rnacentral:rRNA from 1 species
GACGAACGCUGGCGGCGUGCUUAACACAUGCAAGUCGAACGGUGAAAGCGGAGCUUGCUCCGCUGGAUCAGUGGCGAACGGGUGAGUAACACGUGGGCAACCUGCCCCUCACUUCGGGAUAACUCCGGGAAACCGGGGCUAAUACCGGAUAUGACCUCCUUGGGCAUCCUUGGAGGUGGAAAGUUUUUCGGUGAGGGAUGGGCCCGCGGCCUAUCAGCUUGUUGGUGAGGUAGUGGCUCACCAAGGCGACGACGGGUAGCCGGCCUGAGAGGGGGACCGGCCAAACGGGGACUGGGACACGGCCCAGACUCCUACGGGAGGCAGCAGUGGGGAAUAUUGCGCAAUGGGCGAAAGCCUGACGCAGCAACGCCGCGUGCGGGAUGACGGCCUUCGGGUUGUAAACCGCUUUCAGCAGGGAAGAAGCCGCAAGGUGACGGUACCUGCAGAAGAAGCACCGGCUAACUACGUGCCAGCAGCCGCCGUAA